rnacentral:misc_RNA from 1 species
GCAAACUUGGUCAUUUAGAGGAAGUAAAAGUCGUAACAAGGUUUCCGUAGGUGAACCUGCGGAAGGAUCAUUACACACUGCGCGAUACCUGCUAUUUCAGCAGGUAUUUGCACAGCUAACCCUUGUCUAUUACUACCAUAUGUGAAUCCCUCGGCAGGUACGCCUGCCGCUGGGACCCCUAAACUCCACUGUAUGCAAGCAUCUAAAAUUCUGAAUCGAAAACAAUUAUUUACAACUUUCAACAAUGGAUCUCUUGGUUCUGGCAUCGAUGAAGAACGCAGC